GCAAAUGUCAUAAUGAAGUGUUAAUAGUGUACAUUUCCCUUGCGUAGUCCAAAUUUCUUCCUACUAUGACCUUUUGUUAGACACAAAAACGUUUGAUAUUCUAUCUCUCUGAUAACGACAGAGUUCCGGUUCCGGCCAUGCUUUUUUUAUUAGUUCCGGCCGGAACCGGAACUCUAAAUAAUCGGGGUUCCGGCCGGAACUAACCGGCCGGAACCGAGUUCCGGUGCACCCCUA